rnacentral:rRNA from 1 species
UAGUUUGAUCCUGGCUCAGGAUGAACGCUAGCGGCAGGCUUAAUACAUGCAAGUCGAGGGGUAACAUGUCCGCCGCAAGGCGGAUGAUGACGACCGGCAAACGGGUGCGGAACACGUACAGAACCUUCCUUUAAGCGGGGGAUAGCCCGGAGAAAUCCGGAUUAAUACCCCAUAGCAUUGUUGGGUGGCAUCACUUAAUAAUUAAAGAUUUAUCACUUAGAGAUGGCUGUGCGGCUGAUUAGGUAGUUGGUCGGGGUAACGGCCCACCAAGCCAUCGAUCAGUAACUGGUGUGAGAGCACGACCAGUCACACGGGCACUGAGACACGGGCCCGACUCCUACGGGAGGCAGCAGUAAGGAAUAUUGGUCAAUGGAGGCAACUCUAAACCAGCCAUGCCGCGUGAAGGAUGAACGCCCUCUGGGUUGUAAACUUCUUUUAUGUGGGAAGAAACCGAUGGAUUAUUCUGUCGUUGACGGUACCAUAGGAAUAAGCACCGGCUAACUCCGUGCCAGCAGCCGCGGUAAUACGGAGGGUGCAAGCGUUAUCCGGAUUCACUGGGUUUAAAGGGUGCGUAGGUGGGUCUGUAAGUCAGUGGUGAAAUCUCCGGGCUUAACCCGGACACUGCCAUUGAUACUAUAGGUCUUGAAUUUUCUGGAGGUCAGCGGAAUAUGUCAUGUAGCGGUGAAAUG